rnacentral:lncRNA from 1 species
UUUUCUUAUGUAUAUGUAGUAUAGAUGCAAAAUUAAUCAUUACAUAAUAAUUAUAAAUACUAUAUAUACUAUAAGUUAUGUUAUUAGAAUUGUUUUAGGUUAUAUUCUAUUAUAAUCCGUUAUAAAAUAGACGUAAAACAUAUUUGAACAGUACAUGCAAAUGUAUAUAUUUGUAUAGAUAAGUAUCCAUUGGUGUUAUAAUAUUAUUAUUAAGUAGAGGACUUGCACAUAUUGCCUUCGACUUUUAACCUGCUAGUCAGUAAUAUUAGGAUAUAGAAUUCAACAAUAUUUUCGAGGACUAAUCGAAUUUUUGUUGCUAUUCGUGUAAAAGGAUUUUAGAACGAACUUAAAUUUAUACAGCAGCUAACUUUGUAAAUCUUGUACUAAAAAAUUGCUAUCAGCUUCUAAAGACAAGCUAAAAAAACUCAGGAUACGCUGGCAUUAUAUAGAGAGAUUCGAAAUGCGAGCUGUUCACAGAUUCGGAACAGGAGUAAUGGUAUAUAAAGAACAUCUAAAGGAUAUCUCUCGAAGAUGUAUCACUAUUAAGACAUAUUUAGGCUCUUUAAAGCUUUUUAAAGCUUGUUACUAUGUAGGACACUGCUUCAAACCAAAAAUCUCAAGAUUAUAAUACAGUACAUAAUUACAUAUAUCUAUUAUAUCCACAUGAAAUCAUACAAAUAAUAGACUUAAUAUUA